rnacentral:sRNA from 1 species
GCUGGGUGUGGUAGUGCAUGCCUGUAAUCCCAGCGACUCGGGAGGCUGAGGCAGGAAGAUCUUGAGUUCAAAACUAGUAUCAGCAAUUUAACAAGGGGCCCUGAGCAACUCAGCAAGACCCUAUCUCUA